UACACUGUAAAACCUAACAGUUGUACUAGCUCAUAACUAAUGAGGUCAUUACAGUCAAAUGUCCUUAUGCAGUUGAACAAACUAUUAAGUAUUGAGCUCUGUUGACAUUUAUACCACUUUAAUUGAAUAGGGCUCAAAAUUUGAUAGUUAAUUUGUGUGGAGCACUCAAAAAGUUUAGGAGUAGUGGCAUGACGUCAUGACGUGGUGGGUGGGUCUUAUCUCUGCCUCAGGAAAGCUGAGUCAGCCAUCUUGAAUUUGCCUUCAUGCGGAGAAGUUUUCAUGGAAGUUUUUACAGUUUAAUUUGUUUUUAUUCGUUUGCAAUGCAUUUUUUAUCCCCUCACUUCAAACCAAGACCUCAGUUUUUUCAUCUUUGACCUGCCGUCAUUUCAGCGCCGUCUUAUCAGCCCUGAUUUGGUAAGUAAUGCUAACAUUUUUUGUUGUUGUUUUUAAUUGAAUUUCGAUAAAUAGUCUUACAUUUGGAACUGGGAAUACAUGUAUAUAAUAUGCACAGUGAAUAUUUGUUGUAAAUAGUUUACAAAUCCGAGUAAUUGUAACUAAAAAUGUUUGAAUCUAACAACGGUGUACAGUUGGCGGGUUUCCGGAAGAACUACAUUUCACAUAAUGCAUGUUUUCCCGGGACAUUGACGUAGAGGAACGACCGUGAGUUUGAAUUUUCUCGUGGAGUCCGAAACGCUCCCACUGUCUAUGGUCCGAAAGCAUAACGUUAACUUAUCCCUGCUUCCCAGUUUCUGCCGGCUGUUGUUUUCGCUGGUAAUGCAUGUAAAGUAACAUUUUACUUAUUUGUAAGUGUCCGCGUUAAACAGCUCGAGUGUUUGGUUGUGAGAUGAUCAUCUAGGAAUCUUUUUUAAAAGUUCAGAUAUUGAACUUGAGUGCUACAGAGAGUCAGCGUUUCACCAUCAGACAGUUGCCAAUAGAGUUUCACCGAAUCAACAACAUUAACCUGCAAUCAAUUCUACAAGGAGCUGGACAGACACACGCCUAAACUCAUCACCUGAGACAAGGCCACCAAGACUGUCAAGACAGUGGAGGAGCUAGCCAAACUCAUGAGGAUUUAUGACCUUCAGGAACAACGUGAUGUAAAUAUGAGAUGGGACCUCAUCCUUGGUGCACUUCCUGUCUACCUGCAUGAAGAUUCUUUAAGUUCUUCAGGACCUGUAAUUCAGGAGUUGGUCCAGACCUCACCGAUACUCCAGUGGCUCUCCUGACAGUCGUAACGGAUAACACUACUGAUGCAGCCCUCUUCUGCCCUGAGAGUAUCUGUCGUGAAGGAUAAAACACUUGCAAGCUCCUUUUGUGUCUUUUUAAAAGCACAUUGUUGAAUAAAAAAAGUUGCUAAAUUGUCA